rnacentral:rRNA from 1 species
GUGGGGAAUAUUGGACAAUGGGCGAAAGCCUGAUCCAGCCAUGCCGCGUGUGUGAAGAAGGUCUUCGGAUUGUAAAGCACUUUAAGUUGGGAGGAAGGGUAGUAACCUAAUACGUUGCUACUUUGACGUUACCGACAGAAUAAGCACCGGCUAACUUCGUGCCAGCAGCCGCGGUAAUACGAAGGGUGCAAGCGUUAAUCGGAAUUACUGGGCGUAAAGCGCGCGUAGGUGGUUCAGUAAGUUGGAAGUGAAAUCCCCGGGCUCAACCUGGGAACUGCUUUCAAAACUGCAUGACUAGAGUACGGUAGAGGGUAGUGGAAUUUCCUGUGUAGCGGUGAAAUGCGUAGAUAUAGGAAGGAACACCAGUGGCGAAGGCGACUACCUGGACUGUUACUGACACUGAGGUGCGAAAGCGUGGGGAGCAAACAGGAUUAGAUACCCGUGUAGUCC